AAAUUGGUCCCUUAAAGACUUUGCCGUUAAACAUUUUGGUCCUUUCCGUCCAGAAACUGUUAAUUUGUACAUGUGGCAAACUGAGUGCUUACAUGGCUGCUUACGUGGUUGCUUACAUGGAUGCUUACUAGGUAAAUCAUUUAUGUUAAAAAAAAAACUUAAAUUUAAAAUUUAAAAUAAAAAAAAAUUAUACAAACAAAAGAAUGGAUGAAGAAGAAGAUGAAAAAUUAUACAGACAAAAAAAAUAUAAUAUACCUAACAUAGCCUUCUUCCUCACAUAUCAUCACCCUAAAGAUAAGCAAUUUAUCAAUAAACCCAGAUGAAUGUAGCUCUCAAAUUGAAGUUAGAUAACGUAAAGAUAGUUUUUUUGUUUGUUGAAAUUGAUUGAAUUGAGAUAGAAAAUGAGAAAGGGAACUGACCAAGACUAACACCCUGAGUGAGGACCUGACGGAUCUGAAGAGAUUUGAUAGAAUCGACGGUGUCACCGACGAAACCCAUUGCUUUGUUUCUUGUGAUUCUGAGAGAGUGUUGUUGCUUCUUCUUGUUUAUGCUAACACCACCAAGUUGUUGUUGUUCUACCAGUUUUGUUUUGUUGAGUGAGUGACUCUUUUCUUUGCGUUUUGGUUUUCGCCGGUUAACAAAUAGACAGAGCCAAACACCAAACAAAUGCCAAUUUUUUACAACAAACAAACGUUUUUUAAUUUUUAAAUUUUAACUUUAAGUAUUUUUUUUAACUUAAAUGAUUUACCUAGUAAGCAUCCAUGUA
rnacentral:lncRNA from 1 species